rnacentral:rRNA from 1 species
CAGUCGCCGCGGGAAAACGUAGGUGGCAAGCGUUGUCCGGAUUUAUUGGGCGUAAAGCGAGCGCAGGCGGUUAGAUAAGUCUGAAGUUAGAGGCUGUGGCUUAACCAUAGUACGCUUUGGAAACUGUUUAACUUGAGUGCAAGAGGGGAGAGUGGGAUUCCAUGUGUAGCGGUGAAAUGCGUAGAUAUAUGGAGGAACACCGGUGGCGAAAGCGGCUCUCUGGCUUGUAACUGACGCUGAGGCUCGAAAGCGUGGGGAGCAAACAGGAUUAGAUACCCCUGUAGUCCCUGUCUCUUAUAUA